rnacentral:lncRNA from 1 species
CGGCGAUGCAGUUCUGGCGGUCGUCGACGCGGCGGAGGCGGAGGCACCGCUCCGGCUCGCCGCAGAAGUAGUUGUAUGAGUAGGUGAAGUUCCUGAGCCGCGGCAGCGCGCAGAUCCCCUCCGGGAUGUGGCCGGCGAGCUCGUUGCGCGCGACGUCGAGCUGCUCCAGCGACCGCAUCCACGCCAUGGACUCCGGCAGCGUCCCCUGCAGCUGGUUGUUGCUGACGUCGAGCACGGUGAGCUCCCCGAGGUGGCCGAUCUCCGGCGGGAUGCAGGACCGCACGCCGGAGUUGAGCACGACGAGCUCGUUCAGCGUCGCCGCCAUCCUCCCGACGCUGGAGGGGAUGCAACCCCUCAGCUUGAUGUUGGCGAGCACGAUGACCGACGCCGGCGAGUUGCCGAGGUUGGCCGGGAGCUCGAAGUCGAAGUGGUUGUCGUUGAGGAAGAGCGCGUCGAUCUUCUUGUCGAAGAUCGCCGGCGGGACCUCGCCGCAGAAGUUGUUGAAGCGGAGGUCGACGUACUUGACGUUGGGGAGGCAGAGGAUGUGGUCCGGGAAGCCGCCGGCGAGGCGGUUGUUGCUGACGUCGAGCUCGUGGAGGAGGGAGAGCUUGGGGAGGGUGUCGGGGAGCGCGCCGGAGAAGCGGUUGGAGUUGAGGUGGAGCACGGCGAGGUCGGUGAGGAGGCCGAGCUCGUCGGGGAGGGUGGCGGCGAGGUCGCCGUGGUUGAGGUCGAUGCCGGCGACGGUGGCGGCGCACGGGUCGUCCGGCGCGGCGGCGCAGUAGACGCCGAAGUAGCGGCACACGUCGGGGCCGCACCACCCGCCGGUGAGGUUCUUGGGGUCGUCGGUGACGCGCCGCCGC